rnacentral:lncRNA from 1 species
UUCAUUUCUUGUCCGUUUUCCAUGAACUUUUUUUUAAAAGUUUCGUCUGUAUGUCUAUUUUCAUGUACAAUUUUUACUUUGUUAAAAUUCGUUAUGUGCUGUUCCCAGUAAAUUUUUUUCUCCACUGUGUUCAUCCAGUAUUCUGCUGUUGAAUUAAUACUCCACUGUUUUGCUUUGUUGUUGGCUGUUUGGACUUUGUUGUGGCUGGAAUUACUCANUGGACGUUGCUACACCCUCCCAACACUCUUAAGCAAGGAUUAAAGACUUCAAAUCAAUGCUUGGAGGGGCUGAACCGUGGCUGUCCAGAGCCUUGUGCAAGUAGACAUUUCUUCN